rnacentral:rRNA from 1 species
AGCAGCCGCGGUAAUUCCAGCUCCAAUAGCGUAUAUUAAAGUUGUUGCAGUUAAAAAGCUCGUAGUUGAAUUUCGGGAUUGGCGCAUCGGUCGUGCCUUACGGGGUAUGAACUGGUGCAGUCAAUUUCUCACCUUCUGGAGAACCGCGAUGUCCUUAAUUGGGUGCCGCGGGGAACCAGGACCUUUACCUUGAAAAAAUUGGGUGUUUAAAGCAGGCAUUUUUGCUUGAAUACAUUAGCAUGGAAUAAUAAAAUAGGACGGCAUGGUUCUAUUUUGUUGGUUUCUAGGACCACCGUAAUGAUUAAUAGGGAUAGUUGGGGGCAUUAGUAUUCAAUUGUCAGAGUGAAAUUCUUGGAUUUAUUGAAGACUUAACUACUGCGAAAAGCAUUUGCCAAGGNUGUUUUCAUUAAUCAAGAACGAAAGUUAGGGAUCGAAGACGAUCAGAUACCGUCGUAGUCUUAAACCGAUAAACUAUGACCGACUAGGAAUCAGACGAU